UACGGGGGGGGUAAGCGUUGUUCGGAAUUACUGGGCGUAAAGGGCUCGUAGGCGGCCAACUAAGUCAGACGUGAAAUCCCUCAGCUUAACUGGGGAACUGCGUCUGAUACUGGAUGGCUUGGAUUCGGGAGAGGAAUGCGGAAUUCCAGGUGUAGCGGUGAAAUGCGUAGAUAUCUGGAGGAACACCGGUGGCGAAGGCGGCAUUCUGGACCGACAUUGACGCUGAGGAGCGAAAGCCAGGGGGAGCCAAAGCGGGG
rnacentral:rRNA from 1 species